UACGUAGGGUGCGAGCGUUAAUCGGAAUUACUGGGCGUAAAGCGUGCGCAGGCGGUUAUACAAGACAGGCGUGAAAUCCCCGGGCUUAACCUGGGAAUGGCGCCUGUGACUGUAUAGCUAGAGUGUGUCAGAGGGGGGUAGAAUUCCACGUGUAGCAGUGAAAUGCGUAGAUAUGUGGAGGAAUACCAAUGGCGAAGGCAGCCCCCUGGGAUAACACUGACGCUCAUGCACGAAAGCGUGGGGAGCAAACAGG
rnacentral:rRNA from 2 species